rnacentral:rRNA from 1 species
GACGAACGCUGGCGGCGUGCUUAACACAUGCAAGUCGAACGGAAAGGCCCUGCUUUUGUUGGGUGCUCGAUUGGCGAACGGGUGAGUAACACGUGAGUAACCUGCCCUUGACUUUGGGAUAACUUCAGGAAACUGGGGCUAAUACCGGAUAGGAGCUCCUGCUGCAUGGUGUGGGUUGGAAAGUUUCGGCGGUUGGGGAUGGACUCGCGGCUUAUCAGCUUGUUGGUGGGGUAGUGGCUUACCAAGGCUUUGACGGGUAGCCGGCCUGAGAGGGUGACCGGCCACAUUGGGACUGAGAUACGGACCAGAAUCCUACGGGAGGCAGCAGUGGGGAAUAUUGCACAAUGGGCGGAAGCCUGAUGCAGCAACGCCGCGUGCGGGAUGACGGCCUUCGGGUUGUAAACCGCUUUCGCCUGAGACGAAGAGUGAGUGACGGUAAUGGGUAAAGAAGCACCGGCUAACUACGUG